rnacentral:rRNA from 1 species
UACAGAGGGGGCAAGCGUUGUUUGGAAUUACUGGGCGUAAAGGGCGCGUAGGCGGCCCGCUAAGUCGAACGUGAAAUCCCCGAGCUCAACUCGGGAACUGCGUCCGAUACUGGUGGGCUUGAAUCCGGGAGAGGGAUGCGGAAUUCCAGGUGUAGCGGUGAAAUGCGCAGAUAUCAGGAAGAACACCCGUGGCGAAGGCGGCUCUCUGGGACGGUACUGACGCUGAGACGCGAAAGCGUGGGGAGCGAACAGG